CAUCCUGGCUUCCAUGUGAAGAAGACUUUCAGGGGGUAGUGAUGAGAGCACACUGCACUCCAGCCUGGGUGACACAGUGAGACUCCAUCUCAGAAAAAAAAAAAACCAAAAAGAGCGGGCUAUGACCUGUGGAAUCAGACCCUUUUAGCCUUGUCGGUCUCUCUGACUGUAUUCCCUGGACAGGUAAUUUCUCCCUUCUGUAGUUUGAUUGGCUGUGAAAUGGCAUUUAUAAUGUUUACUUGAGGCUUAAAUGAGAUAAAGUGGAUAAAAAGUGCAUAGCCCAGGCCUGGCGGAGAGCAAGUACUUGGCUGUCUAGCAUUCGUACAUGCAGGGCGCCCGGCACUGUGUUUGAUGUAUUUCAUCUCCACA
rnacentral:lncRNA from 1 species